GAUGAAGAACGCAGCGAAAUGCGAUACUUGGUGUGAAUUGCAGAAUCCCGUGAACCAUCGAGUCUUUGAACGCAAGUUGCGCCUCAAGCCAUUAGGUUGAGGGCACGUCUGCCUGGGCGGCACAUAUCGUUGCCUGAUGCCAGUUUCCUCGUGAUGGGUGACUGUGCAGGGCGAAUGAUGGCUUCCCGUGAGCAUUGUUGCCUCAUGGUUGGUUGAAAAUUGAGUCCUUGGUAGGGAGCGCCGUGAUAGAUGGUGGUUGAGUGACGAACGAGACCCAAUCAUGUGAGACCCCUACCGAAUUUGGCCUUCAUGACCCACAUGCGUCUUUGGAACGCUCAUGACGAGACCUCAGGUCAGGCGGGGCUACCCGCUGAGUUUAAGCAUAUCAAUAAGCGGAGGA
rnacentral:misc_RNA from 1 species